rnacentral:lncRNA from 1 species
UUUUAAUAAAUUUAUAAUUUUUUUAUUAUUAAUAAAUUUAUAAUUUUUAAAAUUCUACUUAAACUUAAAUUUAAUAAAAAUAAUAUUUUAUAAUAUUUAAAUAUAAUUUAUUAUAAAAUGUAUUAUAAUAUUUAAUAUUUAAAUAUAAAUAAUAUGUAUUAAUAUAGUACAAUUAAUAAUUUUAUAAUAAAAAUAAUAUAUUAUAAUAUAUAACAUAUUAUAUUUAUAUAAUUUAGUUUUAAUUUAAUUUAUAAUUUUAAUAAAGUUUGAAACUAAAUAUUAGAAUAACACUAUUCCAUCAAAAUGGUGGAAUAAUAAAUUCUAAGCUAUUUCGGGAUAGCCGGGAAUAGCAAGAUUUGACCGGAAUAAAAUAAGCCGGCCAAAAAUUGUUUCGUUUGGUAAAAUAGCGGGGAUAACUUUGGUUAU